rnacentral:rRNA from 1 species
GACGAACGCUGGCGGCGUGCUUAACACAUGCAAGUCGAACGGAAAGGCCCUGCUUUUGUGGGGUGCUCGAGUGGCGAACGGGUGAGUAACACGUGAGUAACCUGCCCUUGACUUUGGGAUAACUUCAGGAAACUGGGGCUAAUACCGGAUAGGAGCUCCUGCUGCAUGGUGGGGGUUGGAAAGUUUCGGCGGUUGGGGAUGGACUCGCGGCUUAUCAGCUUGUUGGUGGGGUAGUGGCUUACCAAGGCUUUGACGGGUAGCCGGCCUGAGAGGGUGACCGGCCACAUUGGGACUGAGAUACGGCCCAGACUCCUACGGGAGGCAGCAGUGGGGAAUAUUGCACAAUGGGCGGAAGCCUGAUGCAGCAACGCCGCGUGCGGGAUGACGGCCUUCGGGUUGUAAACCGCUUUCGCCUGUGACGAAGCGUGAGUGACGGUAAUGGGUAAAGAAGCACCGGCUAACUACGUGCCAGCAGCCGCGGUGAUACGUAGGGUGCGAGCGUUGUCCGGAUUUAUUGGGCGUAAAGGGCUCGUAGGUGGUUGAUCGCGUCGGAAGUGUAAUCUUGGGGCUUAACCCUGAGCGUGCUUUCGAUACGGGUUGACUUGAGGAAGGUAGGGGAGAAUGGAAUUCCUGGUGGAGCGGUGGAAUGCGCAGAUAUCAGGAGGAACACCAGUGGCGAAGGCGGUUCUCUGGGCCUUUCCUGACGCUGAGGAGCGAAAGCGUGGGGAGCGAACAGGCUUAGAUACCCUGGUAGUCCACGCUGUAAACGGUGGGUACUAGGUGUGGGGUCCAUUCCACGGGUUCCGUGCCGUAGCUAACGCUUUAAGUACCCCGCCUGGGGAGUACGGCCGCAAGGCUAAAGCUCAAAGGAAUUGACGGGGCCCCGCACAAGCGGCGGAGCAUGCGGAUUAAUUCGAUGCAACGCGUAGAACCUUACCUGGGUUUGACAUGGGUCGGGAGUGCUCAGAGAUGGGUGUGCCUCUUUUGGGGUCGGUUCACAGGUGGUGCAUGGCUGUCGUCAGCUCGUGUCGUGAGAUGUUGGGUUAAGUCCCGCAACGAGCGCAACCCUUGUUCACUGUUGCCAGCACGUUAUGGUGGGGACUCAGUGGAGACCGCCGGGGUCAACUCGGAGGAAGGUGGGGAUGACGUCAAGUCAUCAUGCCCCUUAUGUCCAGGGCUUCACGCAUGCUACAAUGGCUGGUACAGAGAGUGGCGAGCCUGUGAGGGUGAGCGAAUCUCGGAAAGCCGGUCUCAGUUCGGAUUGGGGUCUGCAACUCGACCUCAUGAAGUCGGAGUCGCUAGUAAUCGCAGAUCAGCAACGCUGCGGUGAAUACGUUCCCGGGGCU